AGGACCUGGCUGUGGGUAUGGGUACACUCCCUACAUAUCUACAUGACAAACCUGGUAUUCCCGCAUAAACCAUCAGAAAGCUUUUCAGUUCUGUGAGAGACUUUAACCUGGGGGAACCAGUUAGAUGGUGAAGAAGUUAUCCAUUAGUGACACUACCUAGCACAACCCAAUCUUCUCCAGGAUUAAAACCUACUGCCUUCUAAUAAAAGUCUUGUGUUGGACCUAUGGAGCUUACGGGCAGAGCUGGUUUGGUGGAAACGAUAUCAAAAGGCCACUGAAACCAGAGAUUACAUUCUAUGGUGAUGAUGUAGUGUGACCAGUUGCAGAGUUUGUGCAUAAGACAGUUAGGUAGAGUGAGUUUACAUUUCGUUGGAAUCCUUGUUGCAGAUAUACUCGGGUUACAGAUUUGCAGUAGCUGUCAGCAACCAAGAAACCAGCAGCCACUCAAAAUAAAGGACCCACAUGACCAGACAAGUUGGCAAGAUUAUAAAUUCAAGCAAAGUGUGCCAAAGUUCAAGUCUGGAGAUAACAUUGGCAAAUCUUAGACAUUUUUAGAUAUAAGUUCAGUCAGUCAGUGUUAAAUUACGGUCCGUCUGCCCUUUCAGACACAAUAAAGCAUAACUGCCACAUAGAGUAGUAUUAGACCGAUUUUGCUUAGAUUUAAGUUUUAAAAUGACUUCAUGUAUAUACUUUUCAGUCAAAGGCUUUUUGGUAUUUGUAUUUUAUUCUACAUAUCCACUCCAGGAGAACUACGUUCCAACAUAAGUCAAGUCUCAUCGAUAUCAUGUGACAUACCUCAACAAUGAAGUUACGGUGUCGCUCCAGUUACCUUGUUGAUUCAUUUAUUAUGUGUAAUUUAGCAUUUAUUCUACGUUUUAUGUGUAAAAGAUAUAUUAGCUAUUUGCAGCAUUUUGCAAGAUACAACAAACUAGUUACAAAUACACUUAACGUAAUCUACAUAAAUGUUGCAAGGCCGCAACGAUAACAUACAUUAUGUGACAGCGUCUCACAUACAGUGUUGCAAAGUCUCAGCAUCAUAAUUACCAUUUGAACUUGUAGAAAAUUCUUAUGUACAUUUUAUCUUUACCUUGAGAACAUUUCUUUGACAAUUUCAUAAAUGACUGGAUGACAUCUGGGCAAGGUACAACAAUUUAAUAAGUAUGAUUAAUGUAUUUGUCGUUAACAUAAUACACAUUAUAGUCUUACACAGGCUGGAGUAAAAUUCUUUGAAAUGGAUGAAUAAAAUCAUAUACAAUUUCAGCAUGAAAAUUAAAAUGUAAAGUUAAUGCUUUUCAAUAGAAAUAAGUAUCUUUAGAUAUUCGCUAUAGAAAUACUUUCAUUUAUAUCAAAAUCCAUGGAAUCUUGUAAGCAGUGUCGAUGGCUCCUACACAAAGUGGUGUUCAGCUGAACCAUUACUCUUAGUCAGUUUUGAAAAAGUGUAUACAUGUUAUGCAUUGCAAUGUUUACAUUAUAAGUUAAAAGGGGAUAGAGAACCUAUAAGGUUAUAAUAAUUGGAAGAACAUAACAAUUAUAUUAUUUUAUACUUUACUGCAUGUCUUUCUUUCUCGUGCUUUUUAAACACGCGCAUUUCCUGAAAUUUUCAUUGCUAGUAUUUUGCGUUGUUUUCGUCUCCUAUAAUCCCCGACGAAAGAGGGAUAUGGUUUUGGCGUUGUCCGUCCGUCUUUCCUUCCGUCCCUCCUUCCGUCUUUCCAUCCGUCCGGAGCCAUAUCUAGGAAAUGGUUGGGAAUAUUUAUUUAAAACUUCAUAUACAUGUUCACCACUAUGAGUUCUUGCGGCCCGUCAAGUUUCAGUCAGAUUGCCCAAGUAACACCAGAGUUAUGGUCCCUAGAAGUUUCUAGUGUUAACUAUGUAAGGUACUAUAAAUAUGGCAAUUUCUGCAUCAUAACUUUUGAUAUAUUUGACCUAGAACUAUAAAACUUAAAUAGAAAUUAGAUCACCAUAAUGUGGUUGUGUACACACAAUUUCAUUCAGAUUUAUAUGUAAAUUAAGAGUUAUUGCCCUUUAAUUGUAUAAAAAUCCACAUAUUUGUACAUAACAAACUUACCAUUUGGUAGAAUUUCAUUAAAUUUCUUUCAUUCUUUUCCAUGAACAUUUAUUGUAAACAUGUGAAGUUGUGUACCCACACCUGGUCACCCCUUUACCUUGA